GGUAGAGUGGCCGAGCGGUCUAAGGCGCUGGUUUUGGCACCAGUCUCUUCGGAGGCGUGGGUUCGAAUCCCACCUCUGCCA
rnacentral:tRNA from 1 species